rnacentral:lncRNA from 1 species
CGGGCAGAUCGCGGGGCGCACUCGGUUGCGCGCUGAGCUAGGGGUGCACCGACGCACCGCGGGCGGCUGGAGCUCGGCUUUGCUCUCGCUGCAGCAGCCGCGCCGCCCGCCCCACUCCGCUCAGAUUCCGACACCAGCCCCCUCUGGAUCGCCCUCCUGGACUCUAGCCCGGGCUCUUGCUCCGACCCCGCGGACCAUGCUCCGGGCGCCCCCCGGAAAACCGGGCUGGGCGAAGAGCCGGCAAAGAUUAGGCUCACGAGCGGGGGCCCCACCCGGCCACCCAGCUCUCCGCCCGUGCCCUGCCCGGUGUCCCCGAGCCGUGUGAGCCUGCUGGGCCAUGGAGCGCGCGCCGCCCGACGGGCUGAUGAACGCGUCGGGCACUCUGGCCGGAGAGGCGGCGGCUGCAGGCGGGGCGCGCGGCUUCUCGGCUGCCUGGACCGCUGUCCUGGCUGCGCUCAUGGCGCUGCUCAUCGUGGCCACAGUACUGGGCAACGCGCUGGUCAUGCUCGCCUUCGUGGCGGAUUCGAGCCUCCGCACCCAGAACAACUUCUUUCUGCUCAACCUCGCCAUCUCCGACUUCCUCGUGCCUUCUGCAUCCCAUUGUACGUACCCUAUGUGCUGACCGGCCGUUGGACCUUCGGCCGGGGCCUCUGCAAGCUGUGGCUGGUGGUAGACUACCUACUGUGUGCCUCCUCGGUCUUCAACAUCGUACUCAUCAGCUAUGACCGAUUCCUGUCAGUCACUCGAGCUGUCUCCUACAGGGCCCAGCAGGGGGACACGAGACGGGCCGUUCGGAAGAUGGCACUGGUGUGGGUGCUGGCCUUCCUGCUGUAUGGGCCUGCCAUCCUGAGUUGGGAGUACCUGUCUGGUGGCAGUUCCAUCCCCGAGGGCCACUGCUAUGCUGAGUUCUUCUACAACUGGUACUUUCUCAUCACGGCCUCCACCCUCGAGUUCUUCACGCCCUUCCUCAGCGUUACCUUCUUCAACCUCAGCAUCUACCUGAACAUCCAGAGGCGCACCCGCCUUCGGCUUGAUGGGGGCCGUGAGGCUGGCCCAGAACCCCCACCAGAUGCCCAGCCCUCGCCACCUCCAGCUCCCCCCAGCUGCUGGGGCUGCUGGCCAAAAGGGCAUGGCGAGGCCAUGCCGUUGCACAGGUAUGGGGUGGGUGAGGCAGGCCCUGGUGUUGAGGCUGGGGAGGCUGCCCUCGGGGGUGGCAGUGGUGGAGGUGCUGCUGCCUCGCCCACCUCCAGCUCUGGCAGCUCCUCAAGGGGCACUGAGAGGCCACGCUCACUCAAAAGGGGCUCCAAGCCAUCAGCAUCUUCAGCAUCCCUGGAGAAGCGCAUGAAGAUGGUGUCCCAGAGCAUCACCCAGCGCUUCCGGCUGUCGCGGGACAAGAAGGUGGCCAAGUCGCUGGCCAUCAUCGUGAGCAUCUUUGGGCUCUGCUGGGCGCCGUACACGCUCCUAAUGAUCAUCCGAGCUGCUUGCCAUGGCCGCUGCAUCCCCGAUUACUGGUACGAGACGUCCUUCUGGCUUCUGUGGGCCAACUCGGCCGUCAACCCCGUCCUCUACCCACUGUGCCACUACAGCUUCCGCAGAGCCUUCACCAAGCUCCUCUGCCCCCAGAAGCUCAAGGUCCAGCCCCACGGCUCCCUGGAGCAGUGCUGGAAGUGAGCAGCUGCCCCACCCUUCUGAGGCCAGGCCCUUGUACUUGUUUGAGUGGGCAGCCGGAGCGUGGGCGGGGCCCUGGUCCAUGCUCCGCUCCAAAUGCCAUGGCGGCCUCUUAGAUCAUCAACCCCGCAGUGGGGUAGCAUGGCAGGUGGGCCAAGAGCCCUAGUUGGUGGAGCUAGAGUGUGCUGGUUAGCUCUGCCGCCACAUUCUCCUUCACCACACAGAAGAGACAAUCCAGGAGUCCCAGGCAUGCCUUCCACCUACACACACACACACACACACACACACACACACACACACACACACCACAGUGCAGUGCCAGUGAUGUCCCCUUUUGCAUAUUUAGUGGUUGGUGUCCUCCCUAAUGCAAACCUCGGUGUGUGCUCCCGGCUCCGGCCCUGGCAAUGCGUGCGUGCGCCCUGCAUGUGCUCACACCCGCCACACACCCGCCCGCCACACACUUGCAACACCUCCUCUCUCCCAGAAGAGCUGGGGACGAUGCCCUUUGCUGCCACUGUCUCUUGCUUAAUCCCAGAGCCUGGCUCCUUAUCCCCCACUCUCCCUUCAACUCUGCCCCACAAAGUGUCGAGCGCCUCGGGAAACUUGAAGCUUCUCUGCUCCUUCCACUCUGGAUGUUUUCAGGAAGAUGGAGGAGAAGAAAACACGUCUGUGAACUUGAUGUUCCUUGGAUGUUUAAUCAAGAGAGACAAAAUUGCCGAGGAGCUCGGGGCUGGAUUGGCAGGUGUGGGCUCCCACGCCCUCCUCCCUCAGUGCUGCAGCUUCCGGCUGAGCCGCGCCAGCUGCUUCUGCCUGCCCCGCCCCCAGGCUUGGGACGAUGGCCCUGCCCUGCUUGCCCCGUCUGUACAAUCAGAAUUUGGGGGUGGGUGGUUAUGGGGUAGAGCGGCUCUUCACUGUGCCCUAAAGGUCCUGAGGCUCACAGGACAGUCAGCAGGAGAGCAGGCAGGCCCGCGACACCUGGGAGGAAUGCUUUGCCUCGUCCUGUGUACUCACCUCAGGCUUCUGCAUGCUCUGCUGCCCUUGUGCCCUGGUGUGCUGCCUCUGCCAAUGUGAAAACACAAUAAAGUGUAUUUUUUUACGGA